rnacentral:lncRNA from 1 species
UGCCUACUAGUAUUCAUGAGGGUCCAUAAGGAUGUACCUACGACGCGUGAACUUUUAUUCAACAUUUUCAACUAACCAGCCAUCCCUAUACUUCGUCCGGUAUGAGCGCUAAAAAUACUAUCCCUCAAUACCCCAUCCGGUAUGAGGGUGAAACGGGUCGUUCCCAUACCCCAUCCGGUAUGAGCACCAAAAUACCAAUCCUCGAUACCCUGUCCGGUAUGAGGUAACGUUCACGGUAGGGUUCCCUAUGUACUCAGUUUGUCCACCAUCUCCCAGGAU